rnacentral:tRNA from 2 species
GGCGCGAUAGCAAAUCGGUUAUGCAGUGGAUUGCAAAUCCAUUUAGCCCAGUUCGACUCUGGGUCGCGCCUCCA